AUGUUGCAGUGCAAGAUUGCCACGACUCCUAUGUCUGCCACAGAUAAGCUGACAGCUCUUGAUGGUGACUUGCUCUCUCCUGAGGAUGCUACGGAGUAUCGCGGUAUUGUUGGUGGACUGCAGUACUUGCUCGUUACUCGAGCAGACAUCUCUUUUGCGGUCAACCGUGUGUGCCAGUACCUUCAUGCGCCUCGUGGACCUCACUGGUCCGCUGUUAAACGCAUCCUGCGCUAUGUUCGUCACACCGGUUCAUAUGGUCUCUAUCUUCGGCCUGCAUCUUCUGGACUGAUCUCAGCCUUUUCUGAUGCCGAUUGGGCUGGUUGUCCUGAUGAUCGGCGAUCCACGGGGGAGUAUGUUCAUUAUAAAAUGCUUGCCCAACACAUAUGUUCUUCUCCUCAGAACACCAAGACUGCUAUCAAAAUCAUCUCAUAUGGACACAACAGCUGGGUCAAGACGAGCGCAAACCUUAUGCUACUCCUGACCAUCACCUUCCUUUUGCUACCGUCAGAUACUUCAGCAGCAGGGUGGAAUGGUUGCAAGUCAUUUGUCAUUGGUCCGAUAGAGGAAGCAUGUACCCGCAAGGAAUGCACCUUCGCAUGCCAAGAUGGGUUCACUAAGUUGGGUCACUGCAAAGACGGUGUUGUUAAGUGUGGUUGGAAAUCCAACUGUGUUCUGCUGGAUGUAACUGCACUCUAUGCGGAGAUUUCAACCGUCCAUCCAUAUAACUUGGGAACAAAUAACAAGUACCUAGGGAACAAUUCCAUGUUUACUACGUAG
rnacentral:rRNA from 1 species